rnacentral:rRNA from 1 species
ACCUAGGGGCGCAGCAGUGGGGAAUAUUGCACAAUGGGGGAAACCCUGAUGCAGCAACGCCGCGUGAAGGAAGACGGUUUUCGGAUUGUAAACUUCUGUUCUUAGUGAAGAAGAAUGACGGUAGCUAAGGAGCAAGCCACGGCUAACUACGUGCCAGCAGCCGCGGUAAUACGUAGGUGGCAAGCGUUGUCCGGAAUUACUGGGUGUAAAGGGAGCGCAGGCGGGAAGCCAAGUCAGCUGUGAAAACUACGGGCUUAACUUGUAGACUGCAGUUGAAACUGGUUUUCUUGAGUGAAGUAGAGGUU